rnacentral:tRNA from 1 species
GUCCCUAUCGUCUAGUCGGUCUAGGACAUCGCCCUUUCACGGCGAAAACAGGGGUUCAAAUCCCCUUAGGGACG